GACGAACGCUGGCGGCGUGCUUAACACAUGCAAGUCGAACGGUGAAGCGCCUUCCUUUUUGGUGGGUGUGGAUGAGUGGCGAACGGGUGAGUAACACGUGAGUAACCUGCCCCCUUCUUCUGGAUAACCGCAUGAAAGUGUGGCUAAUACGGGAUAUUCUGGGUCUGUCGCAUGAUGGGUCUGGGAAAGAUAUUGUUUCGGUGGGGGAUGGGCUCGCGGCCUAUCAGCUUGUUGGUGGGGUGAUGGCCUACCAAGGCGGUGACGGGUAGCCGGCCUGAGAGGGUGGACGGUCACACUGGGACUGAGACACGGCCCAGACUCCUACGGGAGGCAGCAGUGGGGAAUAUUGCACAAUGGGCGCAAGCCUGAUGCAGCGACGCCGCGUGAGGGAUGGAGGCCUUCGGGUUGUGAACCUCUUUCGCCAGUGAAGCAGGCCUGCCUCGUUUGUGGGUGGUUUGACGGUAGCUGGAUAAGAAGCGCCGGCUAACUACGUG
rnacentral:rRNA from 1 species